UACGUAGGGUGCAAGCGUUGUCCGGAAUUAUUGGGCGUAAAGAGCUCGUAGGCGGUCUGUCGCGUCGGCUGUGAAAACCCGGGAGUCCGUCAACUCGGCCUGGCAGUCGGAUACGGGCGGACUCGAGUUCGGGCAGGGGGAGACUGGAAUUCCUGGUGUAGCGGUGAAAUGCGCAGAUAUCAGGAGGAACACCGGUGGCGAAGGCGGACUCGCU
rnacentral:rRNA from 1 species